rnacentral:rRNA from 1 species
UACGUAGGGGGCAAGCGUUGUCCGGAAUUAUUGGGCGUAAAGCGCACGCAGGCGGUUCAUUAAGUCUGGUGUUUAAGGCUGGGGCUCAACCCUGGUUCGCACUGGAAACUGGUGGACUUGAGUGCAGAAGAGGAAAGUGGAAUUCCACGUGUAGCGGUGAAAUGCGUAGAGAUGUGGAGGAACACCAGUGGCGAAGGCGACUUUCUGGGCUGUAACUGACGCUGAGGCGCGAAAGCGUGGGGAGCAAACAGG